GAGGGCAUAGCUUAGUGGUAGAGCAUGUGCUUUGCAUGCACAAGGUCCUGGGCUCAAUCCCCAGGACCUCC
rnacentral:tRNA from 1 species